rnacentral:rRNA from 1 species
AUUGAACGCUGGCGGCAGGCCUAACACAUGCAAGUCGAGCGAGCGGCGGACGGGUGAGUAAUGUAUGGGGACUGCCCGAUAGAGGGGGAUAACUACUGGAAACGGUAGCUAAUACCGCAUACUAUCGGAUAACCCAUAUGGGAUUAGCUAGUAGGUGAGGUAAUGGCUCACCUAGGCGACGAUCCCUAGCUGGUCUGAGAGGAUGAUCAGCCACAUUGGGGCUGAGACACGGACCAGACGCCAAGGGAGGCAGCAGGGGGGAAUAUUGCGCAAUGGGGGGAAGCCUGAUGCAGCCAUGCCGCGUGUAAGAAGAAGGCCCUGGGGUUGUAAAGUACUUUCAGUCGGGAGGCGUUACCUACAGAAGAAGCACCGGCUAACUCCGUGCCAGCCGCCGCGGUAAUUC